GCGGGCUUCAAAGCGCUUCAAAACGCCGGCGGGGGCGACAGCGGCCGCGGCGGGUUCAAUUCCUCUUUACC
rnacentral:tRNA from 1 species